rnacentral:rRNA from 1 species
AGAGUUUGAUCAUGGCUCAGAUUGAACGCUGGCGGUAUGCUUAACACAUGCAAGUCGAACGGUAACAGGCCUUCGGGCGCUGACGAGUGGCGGACGGGUGAGUAACGCGUAGGAAUCUGCCUCAUAGUGGGGGACAACGUGGGGAAACUCACGCUAAUACCGCAUACGCCCUACGGGGGAAAGCGGGGGAUCUUCGGACCUCGCGCUAUGAGGUGAGCCUGCGUUAGAUUAGCUAGUUGGUAGGGUAAAGGCCUACCAAGGCGACGAUCUAUAGCUGGUCUGAGAGGACGAUCAGCCACACUGGGACUGAGACACGGCCCAGACUCCUACGGGAGGCAGCAGUGGGGAAUAUUGGACAAUGGGCGCAAGCCUGAUCCAGCAAUACCGCGUGUGUGAAGAAGGCCUUAGGGUUGUAAAGCACUUUCAAUUGGGAGGAAAACCUGCCGGUCAAUACCCGGUAGCUUGACAUUACCUUUAGAAGAAGCACCGGCUAACUCCGUG